rnacentral:tRNA from 1 species
GGGGAUGUGGCUUAGUGGUAGAGCACUUGCCUAGCAAGCAGUGCGUGAGGCCCCAGGUUUGAUCCCAACCUCCCCA